rnacentral:rRNA from 1 species
GAUGAACGCUGGCGGCGUGCCUAAUACAUGCAAGUCGAGCGAACAGACGAGGAGCUUGCUCCUCUGACGUUAGCGGCGGACGGGUGAGUAACACGUGGAUAACCUACCUAUAAGACUGGGAUAACUUCGGGAAACCGGAGCUAAUACCGGAUAAUAUAUUGAACCGCAUGGUUCAAUAGUGAAAGAGGGUUGUGCUGGCACUUAUAGAUGGAUCCGCGCCGCAUGGGCUAGUUGGUAAGGUAACGGCUUACCAAGGCGACGAUGCGUAGCCGACCUGCGAGGGUGAUCGGCCACACAGGAUCUGAGACACGCUCCAGACACCUACGGGAGGCAGCAGUCUGUAAUCUUCAGCAAUGGGCGAAUGCCUGACGGAGCAACGCCGCGUGCGUGAUGAAGGUCUUCGGAUCGUAAAACUCUCUUAUUAGGUAAGAACAUAUGUGUAAGUAACUAUGCACGUCUUGACGGUACCUAAGCAGAAAGCCACGGUUACCUACGU